rnacentral:rRNA from 1 species
AGACUCUGUGCGCGUGCAUAUCAAUAAGCGGAGGAAAAGAAACUAACAAGGAUUCCCUUAGUAACGGCGAGUGAAGCGGGAAGAGCUCAAAUUUGAAAUCUUCAAGGUUCUACCUUGACGAAUUGUAGUUUAUAGAAGUGUUUUCUGUUAGUGGAGUGGCAAAAGUUCUUUGGAAUAGGACAUCAUAGAGGGUGAGAAUCCCGUAUUUGGUCAUUCCUCCUAGCGUUGUGAUACACUUUCAACGAGUCGGAUUGUUUGGGAAUGCAGUCCAAAAUGGGUGGUAAAUUUCAUCUAAAGCUAAAUAUUGGCGAGAGACCGAUAGCGAACAAGUACCGUGAGGGAAAGAUGAAAAGAACUUUGAAAAGAGAGUUAAACAGUACGUGAAAUUGUCAAAAGGGAAGCGUUUGACACCAGUGUUGUUUUUCCGAAAAUCAAUUACGAAUGUUUUGUUUUUGAGGAGUUAUGACUUCAUCGGCUUGCUCCUUUCUUUAUGAAACUUUCUGAAUGCACUUUUCAGUUAACAAGUCAACAUCAAUUUCUUUUGUUGUAAAAGGGUAAGAGGAAGGUGGCUUACGCUUCGGCGUAAGUGUUUAUAGCCUUUUACCUCUGCAAUCGGAGAGAUUGAGGACAGCAGCGUAGACUCUUCGGGGUUAGAUACACUUGUGCUAAGCUAUAGCCUUGUAUAGACAACUUGUUGACUAUGCUCAGUCAUGUAGCUUACUCGCUUGUGCUAUUUUACCUACGCUUAGGAUGUUGACAGCAGUAUAGACUGU